UCCUGCCGGACCUGACUGCUAUCGGAUUGAUACUAAGCCAUGCGAGUCUUUGUAGUAAUACAAGGCAGACGGCUCAGUAACACGUAGUCAACCUACCCUAUGGACAAGAAUAAUCUCGGGAAACUGGGCAUAACUCUUGAUAGAUCAUAAUGCCUGGAAUGGUUUAUGGUUAAAAUGAUUCGUCGCCAUAGGAUGGGACUGCGGCCUAUCAGCUUGUUGGUGAGGUAAUGGCCCACCAAGGCGAUUACAGGUACGGGCUCUGAGAGGAGAAGCCCGGAGAUGGGUACUGAGACACGGACCCAGGCCCUAUGGGGCGCAGCAGGCGAGAAAACUUUGCAAUGUGCGAAAGCACGACAAGGUUAAUCCGAGUGAUUUCUGCUAAAGAAAUCUUUUGCCAGUCAUAAAACCACUGGUGAAUAAGGGGUGGGCAAGUUCUGGUGUCAGCCGCCGCGGUAAAACCAGCACCUCAAGUGGUCAGGAUGAUUAUUGGGCCUAAAGCAUCCGUAGCCGGCUUUGUUAGUUUUCGGUUAAAUCCAUGUGCUCAACGCAUGGGCUGCCGAAAAUACUGCAUAGCUAGGGAGUGGGAGAGGUAGACGGUACUCAGUAGGAAGGGGUAAAAUCCUUUGAUCUAUUGAUGACCACCUGUGGCGAAGGCGGUCUACCAGAACACGUUCGACGGUGAGGGAUGAAAGCUGGGGGAGCAAACCGGAUUAGAUACCCGGGUAGUCCCAGCUGUAAACGAUGCAGACUCGAUGAUGCAUUGGCAUAAUAGCCAGUGCAGUGUCGCAGGGAAGCCGUUAAGUCUGCCGCCUGGGAAGUACGUACGCAAGUAUGAAACUUAAAGGAAUUGGCGGGGAGCACCACAAGGGGUGAAGCCUGCGGUUCA
rnacentral:rRNA from 1 species